GUGGGGAAUAUUGGGCAAUGGGCGAAAGCCUGACCCAGCAACGCCGCGUGAGGGAAGAAGGCCUUCGGGUUGUAAACCUCUGUCCUUGGUGACGAAACAAAUGACGGUAGCCAAGGAGGAAGCCCCGGCUAACUACGUGCCAGCAGCCGCGGUAAUACGUAGGGGGCGAGCGUUGUCCGGAAUUACUGGGCGUAAAGGGUGCGUAGGUGGCCUUUUAAGUUGGAUGUGAAAUACCCGGGCUUAACUUGGGGGGUGCAUCUAAUACUGGAGGGCUAGAGUGCAGGAGAGGGAAGCGGAAUUCCUAGUGUAGCGGUGAAAUGCGUAGAUAUUAGGAGGAACACCAGUGGCGAAGGCGGCUUUCUGGACUGUAACUGACACUGAGGCACGAAAGCGUGGGGAGCAAACAGGAUUAGAAACCCUAGUAGUCC
rnacentral:rRNA from 1 species